GAAGAAGAAAGAAAAAGAAAUUAAAAAGGAACCUGCAUCGCCAAUGAUAUUGAGUCCCUAACAACCUCAAAAGAGGAAAAAGUGAACAACAACAAAAAGAAUCCAGGAGGAGGUUGAAUGACGUGGGAAAAAGAGCCUAAGAAAGAAGAUGACAUCUAUCUAAGAGAACUGUGAUUGAUAAAUUGAAAGGCUGAAACCAAAUCAGGAAAAGCUCUUUCCCCUGCCUGGAAUAAUUACCCAGUCCUCCCCUCUUGACCAAAUCUUCGAAGUCUCUCCUCCUUGCAGAAACCUGAUACACUGAUUCUUCUAGUGUAUUAAUUAACUAUUGAUAUACUGAUCUUGUGUAACAAAUUACCAUAAAACUUAGUGGUUUAAAACAAC